rnacentral:snoRNA from 1 species
UCGUCAGUGAGGUACAUCCUGACCUGCCCCGCCCCCUGCGCGGGCAGCGCGUGAUGAGCGCGGCGUCAUGACGUCACUGAUUACGUCACCCGCCCGGCGAGCGCGGGUUGGUUGCAACAAAGCCCGCGCCGCCCACAGACUCUGAC